UACAGAGGGUGCAAGCGUUGCUCGGAUUUACUGGGCGUAAAGCGUGCGCAGACGGCUGAGCAAGUUGGACGUGAAAUCCUGGGGCUCAACUCCAGAAUUGCGUUCAAAACUACUCGGCUCGAGUAUGGGAGAGGGAAGUGGAAUUCCUGGUGUAGAGGUGAAAUUCGUAGAUAUCAGGAGGAACACCAGCGGCGAAGGCGGCUUCCUGGCCCAUUACUGACGUUCAGGCACGAAAGCGUGGGGAGCAAACAGGAUUAGAUACCCUGGUAGUCCACGCUGUAAACGAUGCAUACUAGCUGUCGGGGGUAUAAACUCCUUCGGUAGCAUAGUUAAGGGGUAAAGUAUGCCGCUUGGGGAGUACGGCGGAAGGGUUG
rnacentral:rRNA from 1 species